rnacentral:rRNA from 3 species
AAUCCAUAGGUUAAUGAGGCGAACCGGGGGAACUGAAACAUCUAAGUACCCCGAGGAAAAGAAAUCAACCGAGAUUCCCCCAGUAGCGGCGAGCGAACGGGGAGGAGCCCAGAGCCUGAAUCAGCAUGUGUGUUAGUGGAAGCGUCUGGAAAGGCGCGCGAUACAGGGUGACAGCCCCGUACACAAAAGCGCAUGUGCUGUGAGCUCGAUGAGUAGGGCGGGACACGUGGUAUCCUGUCUGAAUAUGGGGGGACCAUCCUCCAAGGCUAAAUACUCCUGACUGACCGAUAGUGAACCAGUACCGUGAGGGAAAGGCGAAAAGAACCCCGGCGAGGGGAGUGAAAAAGAACCUGAAACCGUGUACGUACAAGCAGUGGGAGCACCCUUUGGGUG